rnacentral:tRNA from 1 species
UUAAUUGAAACCAAAAAGAGGUAUAUUAUUGUUAAUAAUAAAAUUGAGUAAUCUCCAAUUAAA